GUAAUUAUUCAUACAUGCUGGUCUUAUGGUACAUAUCAGUCUGCUAAAAUAGAUCUUUAUUAGAACAAACUAUACAACUGCUAUAAUAAGGACAGUAUAUAGCCGAGUGCUUUAGAAAUGUAACAAAUUAUAUUGUUUUUGAGAGGGCACAGUUUCUGCAUUUUCGGAUCUGUUUGAAGACAAUUUUCCUGUAUUGCCUGAAAGCAGAAAGUGAAAGUACUUAGUAUCAAUGUAGCUCUCCUAGUGACACUGCAGUAAUGCUCCCUGUUCCAUUGUGUCUAUUUAAAC